AGUUCCAGGGUGUUGAUUGGGAACGUGGGAAAUCAUCCCUAAGUUGAGGGUGUUGAGUUGAGAACCUUGUGGGUACGGGGGAGAUUUUCUUAGGGGCUUUUCAGGAAUCAGGAGCCCCUGAUAGGAGAGCGGGAAAAGCCCCGCUGAUCUAGAUCAGUUGGUUGCCCUCUUUGGAAGGGUAAGUUUUUGGUAGGGACAGUUAGGUUUUUGUGGGGAUUGUCCCUAGAUUUCAUUUUUGGGAUGUAUAUACUGUGAGAUAGUAAUUGUAGUGACUCUGGUAUGUGUUAUGCACAUUGUGAUGAGAUGUAUAUAAUUUUGUAC